AAAAUUACAAUUUGAACAUGUUGCUUACUUUACUAUAUUUAGGUCGUUCGUUUUGUCGUUCCAUGUAGUUGCGAUUGCAUCAAACACAAGGAUAUAUGUUCAUUUGGGUGCUGCAGCUACUUGCGUCAAAACGCUGCGGCGAACGCAGUGGAAUCCGACGAAUAAUUUUGAAUGCCGAUUUAAUUGAGCGGCAAAGAUUAAAACGUUGUGACUAAUUUAACAAAUGACUUAAUUACCCAUAAUAUCUUUAAGAAAUCACAAUAAAACUUAACCAUAAAUCCAACACAUUCACGCGAUAUGAAAUUAUCUCUUCUUCUCUUUUACACAAUCUAAAAUCUCUUUUUUUUUUACACGAUUUGGAUAUGCUCGGUGAUUUCAAAGUAAGCUCUGCGAUUUCAAAGUAAUAGGUUUUGUUUCUGAAGUUCCUUUCUCGAUCCUGAAGAGUUUUUGAAGAAUUCUCUGGUUGAAGUUCGCUGCUUAAAUCGUUAUCUUCGACCCCACUUGUUCUUCUUGAAUCUUUAUCUUCGAUCCCACUUAUUCCUAUCAUGUUUGCCUUCUCUCUACUCUUUAUUUUUUGUGACCUUGAAGAGCUUCAAAGCAACGUGUGUCUAAUGAUGUGGUUUUAGUUGAUUUCCAUUAUGAUUAACCAAACGUAGUUGUGUUGUAGUUGUUCAUAGUUACAUAGAUUUGGGGGAGGACUCGUAGAAGAAGAAGGUAAAGAAGGAGAAUCACCCAAUCCAGGUAGAAAAGCAAGGUAAUUUCGUUAUUCACAGCUAUUGAAUAUUUUGGAAAUUUUUGUUUGUGUUCUCUUAGUUUGUGUAGCUACUCUCAACUUGGUGGGUUUUUUUCUUCCGUUGAAUCUAUAAGUAUUCAUGGAGCUUGUCUUCUCAUUGAUUCAUAAAUCUAUCCUUAUUUGUGUUGCUUUGCAGAAAGUCUUCAAAUUUGUUAAAGUGAAUCAGUUUUCUUUUUUAGUUUUUGUGUUCUCUGUUUUUGUGAUAGUUUUGAUUUUGAUUCAAUGGAUUGGUUUCUAAUGAACUUUAGGACGAAUGAUUAGCCCUAUUUAUCAUAUGUUUGAUUUUAACAUCUGUAUAAAUGAGCAUAGAGCUAAGCUUUGAUUAUGUGGAUUAAGCUUGUAAUAGCAACGAUGACACUACACUACUUCAUAAGGGAUUCACAUCAGAAAGAUCAUGAUUUCUUACAAUAGUAAAACAAAGAAAAAUUUCAUGUUGAUGAUAAUGAAGAAGAAGAAGAAGAAGAAGAAUUAAGAGGAAGGAAAAGAAGGAGGAGAAGAAGAAGAACAUAUUGCAUAUGAGCCGACCGGUGAUAGAGUGAUGGAAGCUUUGCGGGAUAACAUCACAAAUAAAUGUAAUAAAGGUCUUUUACCUUGUUAGAUAUGUUUUUUUUUCCAAUGACUUAGUUUAUUAUUUUAGGUUCUGUUUAUUUCAUUAUUUAACAUUUUCGUUCAAAUUAUCCAUUUACAUGAUUUGAAUGAUGCAUUUGAAUGAUGUUUGUAGUGUUUGUUUGAUCAUUUGAUAUUUAAUCUAAAUGAUGCAUUUAAAUGAAUCUUUAUUUGUUUGCUCAUUUUGUAGUUCAUCCACAUUCUCAUUUAGAUAAAAAUGACUAAAAUACCCAUGCUUUCAUUUUGACAAAUGACAAAUAAUUUUGCAUUUGCGGUUUUAGUAGGUAAAACAUGAUAUUAUGGUUUUGGCAUAAAAAAUAUUUUACGGUUUUAGCGAGAAAACAUGAUAUUAUGGUUUUGGCGGGAAAACAUGAUUUUGCGGUUUUGGCGGGAAAAUAUGAUUUUGCGGUUUUGGCGUGAAAACAUGAUUUUGAAGUUUUGGCGGGAAAACAUGAUUUUACGGUUUUGGCGGGAAAAAAUAUUUUACGAUUUUGGCGGAAAAAACAUAAUAUUACGGUUUUGGCGGAAAAACAUGAUUUUGAAGUUUUGGCGGGAAAACAUGAUUUUGCUGUUUUGGCGGGAAAACAUGAUUUUGCGGUUAUGACGGGAAAAUAUGAUUUUGCGGUUUUGGUGGAAAACAUGAUUUUACGGUUUUAGCGAAAAAAUAUGAUUUUGCGGUUUACUAGGAAAAUUAUGAUUUGGCGGUUUUGGAGGAAAACAUGAUUUAACGGUGUUGGCAGAAAAAUAUAAUUUUACGGUGUUGGUGGGAAAAUAUAUACAAUUUUGACGUAAAAUAAUAGUCCGUGAUUUCCAAUUUUUAAUUUUUUUGGUGCAAUAUGUAAUUUAAAAAAAAGAUAUUAAUAAAUUUUUUAUAGAAAUUAGUAUUAUUCCAAAGGUUAUAUUUGUCAUUUAUUCUUUUUGACUAAACCAUCUCCAUCCAAAUGGUCCAACCAAGUCCAUCCAAAUGAGUUUUAAAAAUUUGCCUAAACUUACAAAGUCAUUGAGAUGAAUCAUCCAAGUGAUUCAUCCAAAUGGUAUGUUAAAUUGUCAAAAACAAACAUCAUUUUUCAUCUCCAUAUAGAUGACCCAUCUUGAUGGAGAAAAAAACAAGGAUCAAUUAUAGGAUUGGCACAUAAAACAUCAUCCCUUUGUAAUAUUAGGCUUUUUAGUAUGCUUUACUAGAUUAGGUACUUCUUCUCUUCUACAUAGACAAAAUUACCCUUUCUUCUAUAUGUUCUCUAAAUCGAUUGGAUCUAGCAAGACAAUUAUCCAUCGGUUACUGCUGAUUCUCUUCUAUUAAAAUUCAAUCCAAAUCAGAUCUAUGUAUAGAUGUAUUUAUGUUCCUCGACGAAGCAUGCGGUUAUCCACUAUAGCUUCUCUUCUGAAUCUGUCCAUGUACCUUAUCGGUGAAUCAGUUCAAUCGACGGUUGCAAUGAUUCUGAUCAUCUCACGAUAACAACAUAAAAAAAUCUUUGUCUCGACAGUUCUUGAUCUCUCGAUUAUCUGAAAUGAAUCUGAAUUUCUCAAUCUUAAUUAGGAUUUCAUCUUCUCUCGAUUUAUGAAAUUCCAAAUUGAUAUUGAUCAUUGCUUUAGAUUAAAUCCCUUGGGUUUUUUAUAUACUAUCCCUAUAGGGUUUAGUGUUCUUUUAUAAAAAGAAUAUUUAAUUGAAUUUUGGGUUCACAGGAAAGAAGUUUUAGUGGUGUAAGCCGUCGGAAAAGAUGGCGUUUGAUGGUGUAAAACCGCAGGGGUAUUUUCGUCACUCCAAGUCACAAAAGUGCCUUGCCCCGUAAGACCAUUGUAAAAUUGCCUAAUCUCGAGUUUUUUUGAUAGAAAGUGUCAAUUCUUGUAAAAGCCCCAAGAAAACAGAGUCUUAGUUAACGACUUUGUAUUUCUUUUUUUUUAUCACUUGGUGUACUACUUUUAGUUAAAUGAUUUAGUUUACUAUUUUUGUUUCAAUUACGCUCAUGAUUUAUCACAAAAUUUUAUUAUUAUAACUACAUAUUUAGCUAAAAAUUAGUACUCACCAAAAAAGACUAAAAACAAAUUAUUACUAGCUAAACAAAAAAUGUUAUGGAUUUGAAUAUAUUUAAAUUACAUUUUUUAAAAAUUUUACUAGACCCAAAUAAACUGAACCCAACCGAACCCAAACCGAAUCUAAAGUUGAACCGAAAUGCUCACCCAUAUCUUAACGCACCAUGCACUCACAACUGAACCACAUUUGGUUCUUUUUAGGGUAAUAUUAGGAAGUAGCCAAAUUUGACAUCAUAAUAAAGAAACUAACUAUGUGUCGGAUAAUUUUGGUAAAUGACUUUUUUUGUGGUGUGGUAGAGGUGAAAAAAAGACUCAUGUUGAAUAAUUUUCUAUAUAGAGGAAAAUUUAGAAAUUUCCAACAAAAUUCAGCAACAAACAAACAAAUUAAAUUGAUUUAAACUU
rnacentral:sRNA from 1 species